GUACUUGCUUAGGCAGUACAUAAAAUUGGAAUGAUACAGAGAAGAUUAGCAUGACCUUUGCGCAAUGAUAACACGCAAAUUCGUGAUGCGUUGCGAUCCCGU